UCCGGUUGAUCCUGCCGGAGGCUACCGCUAUUGGAGUUCGAUUAAGCCAUGCGAGUCGCGAGUCUUAGGGACUCGGCGUACCGCUCAGUAACACGUGGGUAACCUGCCCUAUGCUGGGAGAUAACCUCGGGAAACUGAGAAUAAUACCCCAUAGUUCACUACGCCUGGAACGGUGAGUGGAUGAAAGCUCCGGCGGCAUAGGAUGGGCCUGCGGCGUAUCAGGUUGUAGGGGGUGUAACGUACCCUCUAGCCCUCUACGCGUACGGGUGUUGGGAGACAUAGCCCGGAGAUGGAUUCUGAGACACGAAUCCAGACCCUACGGGGUGCAGCAGGCGCGAAAACUUGACAAUGCGAGAAAUCGUGAUCAGGGAACUCCAAGUGGCUGGGGUAAGACCCAGUCUUUUCUUGACUCUUCAAAGGUCUUGGAAUAAGGGGUGGGUAAGGACGGUGCCAGCCGCCGCGGUAAUACCGGCGCCUCAAGUGGUAGUCGCUUUUAUUGGGCCUAAAACGUCCGUAGCCGGUCUGAUACAUUCGUGGGUAAAUCAACUAGCUCAACUAGUUGAAUUCUGCGAGGACGGUCAGACUUGGGACCGGGAGAGGUGUGGGGUACGCUCAGGGUAGGGGUAAAAUCCUGUCAUCCUAAGCGGACCACCUGUUGCGAAGGCGCCACACUAGAACGGAUCCGACGGUCAGGGACGAAGCCUAGGGGCACGAACCGGAUUAGAUACCCGGGUAGUCCUAGGUGUAAACGCUGUGGACUUGAUGUUGGGGGCGCUCCGAGCGCUUCCAGUGUCGAAGCGAAGGUGAUAAGUCCACUGCCUGGGAAGUACGGUCGCAAGGCUGAAACUUAAAGGAAUUGGCGGGGGAGCACCGCAACCUGAGGAUUGUGCGGUUUAAUUGGAUUCAACGCCG
rnacentral:rRNA from 1 species